GAAUUUUCCGCAAUGGGCGAAAGCCUGACGGAGCAAUACCGCGUGAGGGAUGACGGCCUAUGGGUUGUAAACCUCUUUUUUCAGGGAGGAAUCAAUGACGUGUACCUGAAGAAUAAGCAUCGGCUAACUCCGUGCCAGCAGCCGCGGUAAGACGGAGGAUGCAAGUGUUAUCCGGAAUCACUGGGCGUAAAGCGUCUGUAGGUGGUUUAAUAAGUCAACUGUUAAAUCUCGAGGCCCAACCUCGAAAUCGCAGUCGAAACUAUUAGACUAGAGUAUAGUAGGGGUAAAGGGAAUUUCCAGUGGAGCGGUGAAAUGCGUAGAGAUUGGAAAGAACACCGAUGGCGAAGGCACUUUACUGGGCUAUUACUAACACUCAGAGACGAAAGCUAGGGUAGCAAAUGGGAUUAGAUACCCCAGUAGUC
rnacentral:rRNA from 1 species